GGAAUCUGAGAAAAAGCGUGACGUUGCCUUUGAUCUCCCUGUUGACACGGGUCCAAGGGAAGCCCAGGCAGCGACUCCCCGCUGGAAGCCAGCGGGAUUUUCAGGGUCAACGAGAUGAAAGCAGGAAAUGCCACUUUGAGUAACAACCCGAUUCAAAGGAGGAAAGGUGAAACUGCCCCCAGGUGGUGACCCAGGUUCAUUAACGCAAUACGGACAGAAUAACUAUAUAUAAAUCAAAAAUGCCAGAAAGAGCAGUCAAGCGGAACAGAUUGGCCCAUUUCCCUCGGUGGGAUGGCUUUGCCAAUUCCUGCAGCUCUGGAUAUUAUGGAAUAACAAUGCAAGGAGGAAACUGCAGCCAUUCAGCAAUCGUGCUGCUUAAAGGAAUCAAUAAAAUAAAUAAAUAAAAGCCCUUUAAACUUUAAUUUUCAAGACAUGCCUCAAGUUCACAAAACAACACUGUGGCUUUCCUUAAACCUGUAAUGACUUUUAGUGACUCAAAUUAGCUUUAUUAACACUCCCAAUCUCUACCACCCCGUUGGGCCAGCUGUUCAUACGAGACUACUGGACCUAUAAGGAUGACUUGGAGAGCCUACAAUACUUGUUUGAGGACUCAGAGAAGAGGGAAAGGUGUAAGUUCCUUCCAUUGUAGUCCAAAUACUUCGCUGGCAUGCUAGGGAAUUUGGGGAGAGGACUCCUCCUUAUUCGGUGGGUGAAUAUCUUGAUGCCUCACCUUGAGCAAGGCCCAUGAAGGAGACUCCUGGGCCAACAUGAAUCAUUUCAACGCGAUAACAAGUCAUCCUCCUUUUCUCUCCAAGAUGACAACCGGGAGUUGUUCCGUUCCGAUGAACAAACCUGGUAUCUAAAUACUUUCUGUCGUCACAACCUGGCUGCCUUUUCUCCGGUCUCUUCAUAACGGAGUAACCUACAACAGUUA